rnacentral:rRNA from 1 species
UACCAGCACCCCGAGUGUUCGGGACGAUUAUUGGGCCUAAAGCAUCCGUAGCCGGUUUUCCAAGUCCUCCGUUAAAUCCAGCUGCUUAACAGAUGGGCUGCGGAGGAUACUAUAAGACUAGGAGGCAGGAGAGGCAAGCGGUACUCAGUGGGUAGGGGUAAAAUCCGUUGAUCCAUUGAAGACCACCAGUGGCGAAGGCGGCUUGCCAGAAUGCGCUCGACGGUGAGGGAUGAAAGCUGGGGGAGCAAACCGG